AUAUAAUUAGCAGGUCAAAUGUUUGAACUGAAUUAAGCAUGUAGCCAAAUUUACACUGAAUAA
rnacentral:snoRNA from 1 species